UACGUAGGGUGCGAGCGUUACUCGGAAUUACUGGGCGUAAAGCGCGCGCAGGCGGUCCUUUAAGUCUGAUGUGAAAGCCCACGGCUCAACCGUGGAGGGUCAUUGGAAACUGGGGGACUUGAGUACAGAAGAGGAAAGCGGAAUUCCACGUGUAGCGGUGAAAUGCGUAGAGAUGUGGAGGAACACCAGUGGCGAAGGCGGCUUUCUGGUCUGUAACUGACGCUGAGGCGCGAAAGCGUGGGGAGCAAACAGG
rnacentral:rRNA from 1 species